CCUCAGAGGUGUCCUUUGUGGGCCUUGCUGUACAUCCCCUUGGAUUUUUUUCAUUAUCCUUGGCCUAGUGGCACAGAAGGAAAUUAUCCUAUUACAUCCUCUCUUGUGGUCCAUUUUCCCAAAGGAUUUUUCCCUUGGCCUUAAGGGUGAAGCUCUGGGUGAAGCUGUGUUCUCCUAGAGAGGAAUUUCACUGCAGUGUUGUUGUCUUUGGGUCCUGCUGAGCUUCAGGGCUGGUGUUUGGAUUUGGUUUCACGCCCUCCCCAAGAGCUGAGACUCAUUUGGCACUCAGCUGUUUGGAAAGCCACUGCAGACCAGAGCUAUCCAGGCUGGAAAUCAGGAUCUCAGGUUAACUCUCUCCUCUCCCAGCACAGCUCAGAGCAUCCUCAGGCAGCUUCUGUGCUGCAGUGGUGGAAUCUCCUCUUUAAUGGCACCAGGAAGAAGCAGCAGGAAAUGCAGAGUGAAAUUCUUCCACACAAGCUGCUGCCAGACCAUCGCCCACUGUGCCUGGAGAGUCCCUGCAUCCUCAGGUUGCAACUGAAGGAAAGCAACUCCAACUCUGCUCCUUUUGAAACCAGAAACCUGUUCCCUCAGUCCAGACAGGAUCUGAGCCUGGGCCAGCAGGAAUCUUUUACUGGCUGCUGCCUUUGUGCUUUGGAGCCCCGCAGAAGGGUUUGUCUCCCCAUCACGUGAGGCUGGAAUGAUGGGCUGAUGGUUAAGAAGCUGAGCUACGUUUCAGAAAGGAGGGGCUCUCAGCAAGCUCUUGCAGAACUUCCCAGUAGAGAAAAUCCCUGCACUGUGACAGUCCUGGGCAGUCCUGGUUUGAUGACAGCCAGGUCUGGUGGCUCCAGCAUGGGAACUUUUCCACUGGUGUUGAUAAUAACAAUGUGCUUCUCACUCCAUUCCCUGGGCUGCUCUAACAACUGCUUUGCAGUACCAAGCAUGGGAAGUUUCCUUUUAUGUAGAUAUUCCUGUAUGACUGUUACUGAAUAAAAGCAUUUUGAUAAUAGUUGAAACAGGGAUGGCUGAAAAGAUGUUUGAAGUGAGGGAGAGUUCAGAUGUUUUGGGUAAAAUUCACCUAACAGAGAAAGCUGAUAAUGUGUGAUGUAGUAACACAUUAAGAAAACAGGGAGACAAGUCUGCUACUCCUUCCCAGUAACCACUGGAGCUGCAGGAGGAGCUGGGAAGAAGGUUCUUUCUUUAAACAUUCUUUUUCUGUUGUACAAGAAAAGGUUGUUGCAUAUACCUGGCAUUUAAUUUUUUUUAAUACUCC
rnacentral:lncRNA from 1 species